rnacentral:misc_RNA from 1 species
AACGCACGAGACCUGCGGACCUGCGGAAGGAUCAUUACCGAGCGUUGGUUUUUCCGAAAACCGCCUCCCGUCCUAUGCCUUUCGAAAAUUGAUUUGUUUCGGUGGGGGUACCCGCCGAAAGUUAGUUAUAAUCCACUGAAAAUUGGUGAAUCCGAGUCAAAGGAAUAAAAAAAACUUUCAACAACGGAUCUCU